UUACUCCUCAUGGACACAGGACUUCAGAUUCAUGCUCUGGAUUCAUGCGCCUCAAUUCAAGUUCCUUUUUGACCUUUCACCUUCCUGCCCGGUAGAGUCUUCCUCCCGGUUAAGGUACUCUUACAUAUCUGCUUGUCAUCUUGACUUACUAUUUCAAUGCAAGUGUUCCCUCAAUCGGUAAAAAAUACAACACUCAAAAUCAGUUGCCUUUGCAAAUUGUGUGACAUGUCGCCCUGUGAGGGCAGCCAUAACUGCGAUGUGGCCCCCUGUAAAAAUGAAUUUGACACCUCUGACAUAUACAACGCCUCUCACCUUGAUAGCAGAAGAUAGUAGAUUAUGAGGACAUAAUCAAACAAAUUGGUCAACUUUGGCAGCCAAUUUAUACCCAGGAAUGGAAUGUAUAAACACCCCUAACAGUCAGCAUCCCAGUGACAGCUGACAUUGUACAGGCCGCGGGGGGCGCUGGCGCCUAUCUCAGCUACAAUCGGGCGGAAGGCGGGGUACACCCUGGACAAGUCGCCACCUCAUCGCAGGGCCCUGCUCUGUUGUGUUGGGAGCAAUUGUUGCUGUCCAAAGUAUAUUAUACGUCACACCAGCUGACGUCUACUAAUGAUCCGAUUAUGGGUUCUGUAUCAAAGGCCAAUAAAUGCUGUGAUGCAACUUAACACUUUUUUUAAAUAAUUUUAAAGUGGAUAAAUAUCACCAAACCAUUUUCUUGAAGUCAUUAGUUGUUCCUCUUCCUGCUGCUGACUUAAAGAGAUGUCAUUACAUAUAUGUGAAGGUUGAAAAAAAACAGCAAAUUCCUUCACACUAUCGGAAAUGUAUGUAGUUUGUGUGGUGUGUGACAGUAAUGAUGGAUUGACUGUGGCGUGUCAGCGCUGAGCGUGAUGAUGGCCGACUGAAGCGUCUCACCUGUCGGUGCUGAGGGCGACGCGAGGGGACGACUGGCGCCGGCCCAGUCUAAACAGGAGUCAGCCCUUUGCUGUCUCAACAGGUCUGCUUCACGCUGUGCGAGGGUGGAACAGACAGAAGAAGAAGUCCAGAUAUUCGUAUACACAUGAGACCCUCCUCCCAUUUGCCCCCUUUAACUACCGAUGUUCAUGUGUGACUUUUCUCAUUUUUCAAGACCGUUAACACCCGCCCUUCCCCCCCUUCUCUGAGCGAGGGGCUUGUGUGAUCCCUCAAUGUGUGUGAGAGCGAUGGCGGAGACAAACCAUCUGCCGGGCUACAAUGUUCUGGAUCACG